UUACGGCCAUAUCACAUUGAAACAUUGGUUCUCGUACUAUCACCGAAGUUAACCAACGUCAAGCCUGGUUAGUACCUAGAUGGGUGACCGUUUGAGAAUAUCAGCU